rnacentral:rRNA from 1 species
UACGUAGGGUGCGAGCGUUGUCCGGAAUUAUUGGGCGUAAAGCGCGCGCAGGCGGCUCUUUAAGUCUGAUGUGAAAGCCCACGGCUCAACCGUGGAGGGUCAUUGGAAACUGGGGAACUUGAGUACAGAAGAGGAAAGCGGAAUUCCACGUGUAGCGGUGAAAUGCGUAGAGAUGUGGAGGAACACCAGUGGCGAAGGCAACUUUCCAGAUAAGACUGACGUUCAGGUACGAAGGGAUGGGAAUCGAACGGG